rnacentral:lncRNA from 1 species
CGGAUCCGUGCGCCGAGGGGUUGCUAAGGGUGAAAGUUUGCCGUGAGUUGGCUCACUCGGGGCCAGGGCGCGGGCGGCUGCGGGGACAGCGCACCGCCAGCACUACCGCAGCACCGGGCCCGCCCCGCGCCGCCGGGGACAAGGCAGGGAGGGGACGGACGGGACGGGGCAGAGCAGAGACCCGACGGCAGCGCCCACGGCCCCCGCGACAGCCGCCAGCAGUCGCCGGCCCUGGAGCCGAGGACGAAUGCAGUAGAAAGAGAUUGAGGGAAUCCUGCUGGAGCACAUCUUACUCUGUCAACAACCUGAAGAGCCACUGACUUUUUGUGCCUUCAGCAGGUCUAUUUGGAGCCAAAUCUUGUCUAUGUUCCUGUCACUUUGUCACUUUUAAUACACUGCCCUGAC